rnacentral:rRNA from 1 species
UACGUAGGGGGCUAGCGUUGUCCGGAAUUAUUGGGCGUAAAGAGCUCGUAGGCGGUUUGUCGCGUCGAAUGUGAAAACCCGGGGCUCAACCCCGGGCCUGCAUUCGAUACGGGCAGACUAGAGUUCGGUAGGGGAGUCUGGAAUUCCUGGUGUAGCGGUGAAAUGCGCAGAUAUCAGGAGGAACACCGGUGGCGAAGGCGGGGCUCUGGGCCGUAACUGACGCUGAGGAGCGAAAGCGUGGGGAGCGAACAGG